GUGGGGAAUAUUGGACAAUGGGCGAAAGCCUGAUCCAGCCAUGCCGCGUGUGUGAAGAAGGUCUUCGGAUUGUAAAGCACUUUAAGUUGGGAGGAAGGGCAGUAAGUUAAUACCUUGCUGUUUUGACGUUACCGACAGAAUAAGCACCGGCUAACUUCGUGUCAGCAGCCGCGGUAAUACGAAGGGUGCAAGCGUUAAUCGGAAUUACUGGGCGUAACGCGCGCGUAGGUGGUUUUGUAAGUUGGAGGUGAAAUCCCCGGGCUCAACCUGGGAACUGCCUCCAAAACUGCAUGACUAGAGUACGGUAGAGGGUAGUGGAAUUUCCUGUGUAGCGGUGAAAUGCGUAGAUAUAGGAAGGAACACCAGUGGCGAAGGCGACUACCUGGACUGAUACUGACACUGAGGUGCGAAAGCGUGGGGAGCAAACAGGAUUAGAUACCCUAGUAGUCC
rnacentral:rRNA from 1 species